AUUGAACGCUGGCGGCAGGCCUAACACAUGCAAGUCGAACGGUAACAGGAAGCAGCUUGCUGCUUUGCUGACGAGUGGCGGACGGGUGAGUAAUGUCUGGGAAACUGCCUGAUGGAGGGGGAUAACUACUGGAAACGGUAGCUAAUACCGCAUAACGUCGCAAGACCAAAGAGGGGGACCUUCGGGCCUCUUGCCAUCGGAUGUGCCCAGAUGGGAUUAGCUAGUAGGUGGGGUAACGGAUCACCUAGGCGACGAUCCCUAGCUGGUCUGAGAGGAUGACCAGCCACACUGGAACUGAGACACGGUCCAGACUCCUACGGGAGGCAGCAGUGGGGAAUAUUGCACAAUGGGCGCAAGCCUGAUGCAGCCAUGCCGCGUGUAUGAAGAAGGCCUUCGGGUUGUAAAGUACUUUCAGCGGGGAGGAAGGGAGUAAAGUUAAUACCUUUGCUCAUUGACGUUACCCGCAGAAGAAGCACCGGCUAACUCCGUG
rnacentral:rRNA from 1 species